GUCUACGGCCAUGCUACCCUGAACAAGCCCCAUCCCAUCUGAUCUUGGAAGCUAAGCAGGGUGGGGCCUGGUUAGUACUUGGAUGGGAAGUACUAGGAAGACCAGUGCUGUAGAUG
rnacentral:rRNA from 1 species